CGAACGCUGGCGGCGCGCCUAACACAUGCAAGUCGAACGAGCGAGAGAGAGCUUGCUUUCUCGAGCGAGUGGCGAACGGGUGAGUAACGCGUGAGGAACCUGCCUCAAAGAGGGGGACAACAGUUGGAAACGACUGCUAAUACCGCAUAAGCCCACGACCCGGCAUCGGGUAGAGGGAAAAGGAGCAAUCCGCUUUGAGAUGGCCUCGCGUCCGAUUAGCUAGUUGGUGAGGUAACGGCCCACCAAGGCGACGAUCGGUAGCCGGGCUGAGAGGUUGAACGGCCACAUUGGGACUGAGACACGGCCCAGACUCCUACGGGAGGCAGCAGUGGGGAAUAUUGCACAAUGGGGGAAACCCUGAUGCAGCGACGCCGCGUGGAGGAAGAAGGUCUUCGGAUUGUAAACUCCUGUUGUUGAGGAAGAUAAUGACGGUACUCAACAAGGAAGUGACGGCUAACUACGUG
rnacentral:rRNA from 1 species